rnacentral:tRNA from 1 species
GUGGAUGUAGUUUAGUGGUAGAACGUCCGGUUGUGGUCCGGAUGGCCCGAGUUCGAUUCUCGGUUUCCACC